AGUCGACUGGGCGACUUAUAAACAGCCGUUAGGCCCGGUGCGUCCGAUGAAGCAACUGCUUCGCCGGGGUCGAA
rnacentral:ribozyme from 1 species